CUGCUGAGCGGAGAGGAGUACACAAUAGUGAAGAAGACAUCAGGGGACUGUGUGACUCCCAUCAUCCAUCUCCAGGAGUCAGGAGGGCGGAGCAGGACCCCUCCCCCCAUCACAGAGCCUCCCCCUCACCCCUUGCUACAUGAGCAGAAGGUCCUAGAACUCACCCACAAGAUGAUGGAGCUGCUGAAUGGAGAGGUUCCUAUAAGGUGUCAGGAUGUCACUGUCUAUUUCUCCAUGGAGGAGUGGGAGU